GCACCGUUAGCUCAAUUGGUAGAGCAGAUCCCUCUUAAGGAUAAGGCUACAGGUUCGAUUCCUGUACGGUGCACCA
rnacentral:tRNA from 1 species